rnacentral:rRNA from 1 species
GGUUGAUCCUGCCAGUAGUCAUAUGCUUGUCUCAAAGAUUAAGCCAUGCAUGUCUAAGUAUAAACUUGUUUUCUACUGUGAAACUGCGAAUGGCUCAUUAAAUCAGUCAUAGUUUAUUUGAUGGUACCUGCUACUCGGCUACCCGUAGUAAUUCUAGAGCUAAUACGUGCGCACAUCCCGACUCCUGGAAGGGACGUAUUUAUUAGAUCCAAGGCCGACCGGGCUCGCCCGACUCGCGGUGACUCAUGAUAACUUCACGAAUCGCAUGGUCUCUGCACCGGCGAUGUUUCAA